AGAAUCAACGCUGGCGGCGUGCCUAACACAUGCAAGUCGAACGAGAAAGUGGAGCAAUCCAUGAGUAAAGUGGCGACCGGGUGAGUAACACGUGACUAACCUACCUUCGAGUGGGGAUAACCCCGGGAAACCGGGCUAAUACCGCAUAACAUCGCAAGAUCAAAGCAGCAAUGCGCUGGAAGAGGGGUCGCGGCUGAUUAGCUAGUUGGCGGGUAACGGCCCACCAAGGCGAAGAUCGGUA
rnacentral:rRNA from 1 species